AAGCACUUACCGGAAUUAAUGUGUACGAAGCAUUGUGGGCUCCGCGAAUCGAAUCAACCGUGGCGUUUAACAUUUCCUUUCACUAUCGAUCACCGGAAACAGUUAACACCGAUGUAUCGGCUGGUAUUGACACUUGCUGAUUUCGCUCGUCGGCCAAAAAUACUAGGCCCAGGAUAUAAAUUUCCUAAUCACCAGGAGCAGCUUGGAAAGCAGGUGUAGUUAGAUCCCUACGGACCAGUGGACAAUCGAGUGUUUAAUGCGGGCUCCCUUAAUGAUAUGCUGACGUUCCCCCUGGAAGUGACCAUCUUCAACGAGAUUGGCAAUGUCCAACCAAUAUUUGGCAACAACAACAAACGCACACAGCAUAACUCAUGAGUGCCUUCAACCGAACGUGAAACUUGACCCAAACCCUGCGAUGCUGUACAACUUCUUCGAAACUGGAACCCAAGGAUGUAGAACAAUCAUUCCUACGACAUGCUUAUCAUUUCUGCGGAUUCAAAAACGCGCCGAUGGACCUGCUUCAAUUUGAUUGUAUCGCUUUUGGCCUCUGGUAUUCGCACGGAAAUCCGGUCGUUGCUCCCGUUGUACUGGACAUGCUCUCUUGAUGUGUCCAAGAACACCACACACGUCGCAGACUUUGGUCUUUGCAUUGCAGCUUUCGGAUGAAUGGUAUCUCCCAGCGCAGUGAAUACACGGUUCAAGACCUCGAGUCAAUCGUUGUUGCGGAAAACGACCAAGGGUGUUUCGUUGAUCACGGCCAUGAUCUCUAUUAUUUUGAAAAGGUCCCGACUGCCUGGACUGAAAACCACCUCGAGUCGAUGGAAAUCGGAAAGCUUGUUGUUGAAAUCGAUUCGGAGGGCGUUGUUCUUGAGAAACAGCUGCAAUCACUAGUUGCUUAUCCUGGUGAGCUCUUGCAAAAACUUCUUCA